rnacentral:lncRNA from 1 species
ACCAGGCGAUGUGAGACUCAUCUCGCUAGCCCGUCAUCCAGACCCUGACUCAGCCGAGACUCAUCUCACACUUCCGGCUGGUAAUUGGCUCUGAUACCAUCUGAGACGCCCCAACUUCCCAGGGGGUCACCCAUCCUAGGACUACUCCCGUCCUAGCACGCUUAACUCUCUCAACCUCUUGGGCCUUACCACCACCCAAAAUGCUUAAGCCGGGUUAAGAGUUUAGCCCUAUUAUAUCUCAUAUAUAGGACUAUCUGGGGUCUCACAAUGAUUUAUUCUUAUCCUAAACUUAUUAGGAUAAAUUCCAAUCCACAUCUUAAGUGGAUCGGGUUAAAUUAAAACCCGCCAAUGUGAACACACCACAUGGCUACAGCUAGAAAUG